CCUACGGGAGGCAGCAGUGGGGAAUCUUGCGCAAUGGCCGAAAGGCUGACGCAGCGACGCCGCGUGUGGGAUGACGGCCUUCGGGUUGUAAACCACUGUCGGAAGGGACGAAUGGCCCGCAAGGGCAGUGACGGUACCUUCAAAGGAAGCACCGGCUAACUCCGUGCCAGCAGCCGCGGUAAUA
rnacentral:rRNA from 1 species